GGCAGGAUUAGCUGGGAGACUUCUAAAUGAGGGAGCACAUGCGAAAAAAGAAGCGGGAAAUCCUUUUUUUCAUCCCUCUCAAAUGAGCCAGUGCGAUGGACGGAUAUAAAGAGCAGAGCCAAGGUACACCCAAAAACAUUAAGUGUUUCAGCACACGGGAAGCCAGGCAAUAGGCUGAAGGAUUGUAGGAG